AUGGCCUCGUCGCUGAUGUCCAUCCCGGAUCACCUCAAGGCGGAGAUCUUCGUCCGGCUGCCUGAACUAGAAGAUCUCGCCCGCACAGCUGCCACCUGCGUCACUUUCCGCAGAGUCGUAGCCGACGGAUCCUUCCGCCGCCGCUUCCGCCUCCUCCACGCCCCGCCCCUCCUCGGCAUCCUCGACCGCGACGGCUUUCAUCCCGCCCUCCCGCCUCAUCCCUCCGUGCCCGCCGCCCGCGCGCUCGCCCACGCCGCCGACUUCACCUUCUCCUUCCUCCCCUCCCACCGCCGCUGGGCCGUGCAGGACGUCCGCGACGGCCGCAUCCUCCUCGCCGCCAACCCUGAACCCCAAUUGUUCACGGAGCUCGUGGUGUGUGACCCCUUGCACCAGCGACACAUCCUGCUUCCCCAAGUACCUCACGACCUUGCCGCUUCGCCGGAGUUUCCACUCCCUGUGGCACACAGGUGCCAUCUUUUCAUAGCUUCCCCCCGCGCCGGCGAGAACAUGGCAGCUGCAGCCAUGGAAGAGGCGGCAAGGACAUUCAUAGUGGUCAUGAUAGCACAUUGUGAAACUGGUGUGGCUGCCUUCGUCUUCUCUUCAAGCACUAGACAAUGGCAAGCUGCUGCAUCCAAGGGUUGGAGUGAUUUGUUCCCCUGCCAGGGAGAGUCAGCCAUGAUGUCAUCUAUGCACCCUAAGUUUGUCGGGCGCCAUUACGCAUAUGGCUGCUUUUACUUGGAGUCCACCAUGAAUAAGAAGUUGCUCACGUCUGACACCCGAAGGAUGGAGUUCUCCAUUGUCGACGUCCCAUGCGAAACAUCAAACAUGUUCGGUCUAGCCAUUGUGGAGGCAGGAGAAGACAUGAUUGGCAUGUUUGAUAUCCAUAAUGAUCUUCGUUAUUACAUUAGAGGAAACAAAGGUGAGAGUUCUAGCCAGUGGAAGAUCAAGAAGACAAUCUCACUACCUUCUGAUUAUCAGUACUAUAUCCAAGCUUCAACCGAGAGGUACUUGCUCCUAAGAAAGAUUGGACCCUUGCAGUCCAUAAGUUCAUCUCCGAAGAUGCUAGAGGUGGAAUAUGUCUCAAUGGACGUCAAGACGUUGCAGCUUGAGAGGGUUUGUGAGCUAGCCUGUGGCCGCUGGAGAGUGCAGGAAUGUGCUCACGUCGAGGUUGUUGUGGUGUUACUCGACUUUUCAUGCAGUGCAGCUGCCGGUGGCGCAUGGAUGCUGGGGUGGCGGACUCAGUAUGACAAACGGCCUCGUCCCACUGUGGCCCGUGACCCAGCAAGGCCCAUUUUGGCAGCAAAAUCGCUCACACUCCCCAUCUUCUCUCCCCGAGGGUUCCUUCCUGGCGGCUGGGUGCUCUUCCGCCGGCGUCCAACUCCGAUCCACCUCCCGAUGGCCACCGAUAAGAAAGGGGAAUUACUGCUGACGGAGAUCCCAGACCACCCCCUGACGGAGAUCCUCCUCCGCGCAUGCGCCGCCUGCAGCACCUUCCGUCGAAUCGCCACCGAUGGCUCCUUCCGCCGCCGAUUCCGCCGCCUCCACGCCCCGCCACUCCUUGGCUUCGUCGACCGCGAAGGGUUCCACCCGCCCCUCCCGCCUCACCCCGCGGCGCCGGUCGCCCGCGCGCUUGCCCGCGUCGCCGACUUCUCCUUCUCCUUCCUCCCCUCCCACUGCAGCUGGACUGUCAGGGACGUCCGCGACGGCCGCGUCCUCCUCGCCCGCGACACCGACCACCAGGAGGAUGAGCAACCCCCAGUAUUCAUGGACCUCGUGCCCAGCCUCAUCCCCCCCAGCGAGGACGAGGCGGCGGCGGCUGUGGAAGAGACGGCGUUCAGAGUGAUCUGGUUCGCGCAUUCCAACAUCAAGGUAUACAUCCUCGUCUUCUCUUCGAGCACUAGACAAUGGCGAGCCGCUGCAUCCCAGGGCUUGACGGAUUUGCUCACUGGGGAGGGCCAGUUGACCAUGAUUACACCGCAGCACCCUUUGUUUCGCGGGCACUAUUAUGCUUGUGGAUGCGUCUAUUGGAAGUGGAUGACAAAUGAAAGGUGGAAGAAGUUGCUGGUUCUGGAUACUCGGAGGAUGGAGUUCUCGAUUGCUGACCUGCCACUCGAAGCAUGGAACAUGGCAGAUAUAGCUAUCGUGGAGGCAGGGGAAGACAAGCUUGGGCUGUUUGGUCUUCGUGAUGAAUUUGCGGAUGUCCUGUGUUACAUCGUUGGACGAAAACAAGGUGAGAAUCUUAGCCACUGGCAGACGGAGAAGACAAUCUCGCUAGAUUAUAGCUACCAGCAUUGUAUCGGAGCUACAACAGGGAGGUAUUUGCUCCUAGAAAGGGAAGAAGGCUCGCUGUUUAGGUGGCUUGGGUUGGACUCGCUAAAUAUGGAAUAUUUCUCACUUGAUGUCGAGACAUUGCAUCUUGAGAGAGUUUGCGAUAAACCUAUCUCGUCUGGCACAUCAAGGACACACUUAUAUACCAACUUCCCACCACCGUUGCUGUCUUCACCGACAAUAUGA
rnacentral:rRNA from 1 species